rnacentral:lncRNA from 1 species
UACAAGCGGAGACGUCGAUCCGGUGCAAGCAAUGAUGCGUAAAGGCCCUGGAACCCGUUUUCCUGAUGGCUGCUGCUCAACUUGCUACCGGAUCAGUUAUCCGGCGCCGAUGUGCCAGUGCCGUCUCGUCGAUGGCCCUAUUGGUCCACCAUCCGCUUCGCCGUAAUCCGAAGCAGAAAGAAUGUCGAAUAUUUUCCCCUGCCGUCCAGGUCUCUUCGCGGCGUAAUCAGGUGAUGUGAAGCUACCAUAGUUGAAUGUAAUUAGCUCCACUCGCUGUCAUGUCCUGCCGAUCGCAGAGUGCCGCACAGGUGCCGUUCAAACGACGGUGAAAGGAGAGGAGGAUCUUACCUCCCACGGCCAGUCGUAGCACGGAUAAUCAAGUGCAUUGCUUGAAGAUUUGCAUCAUUAUUACAUGGGUUCGGCACAUAGAGCCUUAGCUUAGUGGCUAGACAUGCGGUUGUGCAGUAUGACCAUUCUAGUUCAGUUUUUUUCUUUAAGCAUUUUCUAGUUCGAUUUUUAAUAUUGAUUGGUG